rnacentral:rRNA from 1 species
CCUACGGGAGGCUGCAGUAGGGAAUUUUCGUCAAUGGGCGCAAGCCUGAACGAGCAAUGCCGCGUGAACGAGGAAGGUCUUCGGAUCGUAAAGUUCUGUUGAAGGGGAAAAAGAGCGGAGAGAGGAAAUGAACUCCGAUUGAUAUUACCCUUCGAGGAAGUCACGGCUAACUCCGUGCCAGCAGCCGCGGUAAUACGUAGGUGGCGAGCGUUAUCCGGAAUGAUUGGGCGUAAAGGGUGCGUUGGGGGCCGGCUAAGUCUGGAGGAAAAGGUACGGGCUCAAGCGGUACAGGCUCUGGACACUGGCGGGCUAGAGAGCAGGAGCGGGAGGUGGAAUUCAAUGUGUAGCGGUAAAAUGCGUAGAUA